UACGUAGGGUGCGAGCGUUGUCCGGAAUUAUUGGGCGUAAAGAGCUCGUAGGCGGCCUGUCGCGUCGGAUGUGAAAGCCCGGGGCUUAACCCCGGGUCUGCAUUCGAUACGGGCAGGCUAGAGUGUGGUAGGGGAGAUCGGAAUUCCUGGUGUAGCGGUGAAAUGCGCAGAUAUCAGGAGGAACACCGGUGGCGAAGGCGGGUCUCUGGGCAGUAACUGACGCUGAGGAGCGAAAGCGUGGGGAGCGAACAGG
rnacentral:rRNA from 1 species